UUCGGUCUUCGGUAGUGGCCUCCGGAGGAUUGGGCGCUGACACCGGCUUGCAGAUGCAGGCGGUUGGCAGCACCGGUUCCGUGGGCCCCGAUCGAUGACCGGC
rfam:Brevibacterium linens strain AE038-8 ctg29, whole genome shotgun sequence.